rnacentral:rRNA from 1 species
ACGGAAGGCAGCAGUGGGGAAUAUUGCACAAUGGGGGAAACCCUGAUGCAGCAACGCCACGUGUGGGAAGAGGCAUUUCGGUGUGUAAACCACUGUCGUGAGGGAAUAAUGCUUGGCCUCGGCCAAGUUGAAUGUACCUCGAAAGGAAGCACCGGCAAACUUCGUGCCAGCAGCCGCGGUAAUACGAGGGGUGCAAGCGUUGUUCGGAAUCACUGGGCGUAAAGGGAGCGCAGGCGGAGAUGCAAGCAGUCUGUACAAUACCGGGGCCCAACCCCGGACCUGCAGACUGGACUGUUGCUCUUGGAUAGUUCAGGGGCAAGCGGAAUUCCUGGUGUAGCGGUGGAAUGCGUAGAGAUCAGGAAGAACACCGAUGGCGAAGGCAGCUUGCUGGGGACUUAUCGACGCUCAUGCUCGAAAGUGCGGGUAGCAAACAGGAUUAGAUACCCUGGUA